GUAACGCGUGGGUAACCUGCCUUAUACAGGGGGAGUAACAGUUAGAAAUGACUGCUAAUACCGCAUAAGCGCACAGGAUUGCAUGAUCCGGUGUGAAAAACUCCGGUGGUAUAAGAUGGACCCGCGUCUGAUUAGCUUGUUGGUGAGGUAACGGCCCACCAAGGCGACGAUCAGUAGCCGACCUGAGAGGGUGACCGGCCACAUUGGGACUGAGACACGGCCCAAACUCCUACGGGAGGCAGCAUG
rnacentral:rRNA from 1 species